rnacentral:lncRNA from 1 species
UGAACUGUAGCUUGUAAUGUAUAGCAUGCAAUUAUGCAAAGUACAAACUGCGGACAACAGGGACUGUUGUCAUCGGUGCACUGAGUUUGAAUGCAGUGGCGGCCACGGAUACAUCAUAGAGACACCAGGAUGGCAACUGAAGGGGCCACAGAGAAGAGAGCCAACUUGGUGGCAUCUAAAGUCAUGUGGAGUAACAGGGAUGACGUACCUAUGUCAGCACCAGAACGGUCACAUGGCAGUGACAGAGCUGGAAUCUGUAGACAGAACAACGUCCAACAGUGGCUUAGAAGUCAUGAGGCGGAUGCAAAACCAGACCACACCAGAGAAGCUGCAGCAGGGCUUCUUAAGAGGAACGCCAGCAGUGAGGAUGACUUAGCGUUGGGCGUCGAAGCGUCUUUAUAUGGUAAACAGGGAGUGAGGACCGUCCAGGAAUUUCUGAGGAGUUCCAGGUCCAGCCCAGUUCUCACCAGGUGGAACAGCUUGACCUCAGCCUUCUCAGCACAGUCAGCUCCACUCAGUGUAAUGGAUGUGCUGAAUCUGUGGAGUGACGACCCAGAGGAGGUCCUACUAGAUCUGGGCUUCGGCUGUGACGAGCCUGACAUCUCUGGACGGAUCCCUGCCCGCUUCAUCAACAACCAGUCCAGCGCCCGGGGAAUCAACAUCCAGGUGUUCCUGGACGCCCAGAAGAACCGCAUGGACAUAGAGAACCCUGAUGUCAGCAGUAAGGGAUGUUACACUGUAAACAUACUCCUCAGACAUUCUGUCAUGUGCUCUUAAUACACUGAAAACAUACUGUAGAUACCUUGACAUGCUGUCAUUCUCUUUAUACACUUUACAAAUACUGUACUGUAGUUAUGUCAUGUGCUGUCAUAUGAUGUUUAAGCUAGCCACAUACAUGUUCUAGCUCCAGGAACCUUGGCAACUACUGGCAUGAACAUGGUCAUGGGAUUCUUUUUGUGCUUUAUGUGUUGAAACUGUUGUGUAUCCAGUGUCCUCUCUGGUGAGAACACCGUGCAUUUAUUCCACCUGAUGGAGACAGUCCUAUAAGACUGAUAACAUGGUUAGCUGGUUUGCCAACUUUGCAUCUGUCAACCACAGAUAAAUGUUAACAAUCUCCUUCUCUCCUUCUCUCCUUCUCUCCUUCUCUCCUUCUCUCCUUCUCUCACUCACUCACUCACUCACUCACUCACUCACUCACUCACUCACUCACUCACUCACUCACUCACUCACUCACUCACUCACUCACUCACUCACUCACUCACUCACAGAUAGGUUCAGGCAGUUGGAGGUGCUGCAGCAGGUUACCACUGCAUUCUCAUCCCUGGUCGGUGGUGCGUCUACAGACUCCGUCUCCGAGAGCGGAGUUCCAGCUUUAGCUUCAGCCGGGGCCAGGGAGAAGAGGAAGAGAAUGGGCAUGCUGCUCCGCCGGGUCUCCAGAAAAACCCUCAGCCAAACCCAGUUUCAGACACAAAACCAGACCCAGGACUCCCAGGACACAAACCCCACUCCCCACAGUCCUGUAACCCACUUACCGCAGCCCCUGGCUGGCCUCCCUGACAGGCGGACCCCGCUGAAACGAGCCAGACAGGGCCUGGCUGAGAGUAUAUGUCUGACCCCGCUGGCAGAGGAGCAAGGCCUAGCCUCGGAAGCACCAGAGCCCCACUCGGUCCACCAGGAGGGUGCACUCUGGCUGGAGGUGGGGAAGGAGUAUCAACCCCUGAUCUCCAGUGGUAUUCCAACCAGAAAGAAAAGUCCUGGGGAGGCCAGGGAGUCCUUUGAGAUGGAGGAGAUCCAGAGCUUUGAUGAGGGCAGUAUUUCUGGGAGCUACAUGGGAGCAUCCGACACCACAGCAGUGUGUGUGAUGAGGACUAACAGCUGCCAGUCUGACAGCAGUGGCUUCCUGGAAGAGCCCUUCAUCCCUUCCAUUACCCAGCAUCCCUCACCUGGACCCGAGCUCAUGAAGGCUUUGUCGGGAAUAUUUGGAGGCAGCACUGACAGCCAGAUCACUGUAAAAGGAGCUUCACCCCCCUCGUCCCCCCCAUCCACUUCCCUGGACCCUUCCCCUCCUUCCCUCUCCAUGUGCCACCCAAGACCCGAGUCUCCUCUAUACAGACCAGAGACAACAAGCCCUACAGAGGAGACACCCAGACACCAGGAUUCCCCCACACCCCACUCCCUCUCUGAUGCCUUGGAGAUGACUAACUCUGCUUUUGGAGCCAGGCCAAGCCUAAUGGAAAACACUGUCACUGAGGAAGAUGGAUUCUCUUCGGCCUGCGGUUCACCUUGUCAUAAGCCAGACUCUCCGUUACGGCACGUUAUUAUUAUCAUGAAAACAGAUAGAGAAACAGAACACUUUACUGUGGAAUCAGAGGAAGCUGUUCCAAUAGGAGGAGAGGAAAAGGACAUAGCGGAACAAAGUGGCAAUGUUCAGACAGGAACAGAGGCUGUUGGUGAUCAGGACACCGAUUGUUAUGGGUCACAUGAAGGCUCUCGGAUGAACUCGGUAGCUCUGGUGCAGAUGAAGAAAGAGACAGAGAUGAAGACGAAAGUACAGAUUAGUUCUGGUUUGGAAGGUCCAGUGUUGGGUCCUGUUGCUGUUCCUGAGGUGGUGAAUCAAGGCUCUGAGACUGGAUCUGUUUGUCAGGACCGGUACUCUGAAGAUCCUCUAUUAGGAUCUGACCCUAACUUCUCAGCAGAGCCUCUCCCUGCCUCCUCUCUCCCCCCAGCAGAGCCUCUCCCUGCCUCCUCUCUCCCCCCAGCAGAGCCUCUCUCUGCCUCCCUCCCCCCAGUGCACUGGGAAACAGGUGGCUCAAAGAUUUCAGAGGGAUCCUCAAGCUUGGUUGUCCAAGAGCCUGUCCCACCACUAUAUCAACCAGCAGACCCAUCGACAGACCCACCUCCAGGCCCAGCUUUAACCUCACCUUCAGAGCAAGUGUCACCUCCAUCCCCACCACCAUCUCCAUCCCCAGCCUCGUGGCCACACCAACCUCCAGCCUCAGCUUUUCCGGCAGCAUCCAGCUCAUCUCCAACCCAAGCCCAUUCCCCAAUCCCAAACCAUUCUCUAUCAGCCCUAACCACAACACCAACCCCAUCCUCAAUUCCAAACUCGCCAUCAGCCCAUUCCUUAACCGUAGCUCCAUCUCAAGCCCCAACUCCACUCGUCCCCCACAGUGGUGCUUUCAGGUCAGGCCGGUCUGUGUCUGUCCAGAUGCCCUCCUCCCUGCCCUCUGUCUCCCACUCUGCCCUCCGGAGAGGUGGCGUCCCCCACACCCCCUCCCCGCUCGGCCCUUCCUUCGAGCCCCGCCCCCUGACUGACCUGACGCUCCGGCAGAGGCGGAACUCCUUCUCCAGGAAGGCGUGGUCAGAUGCUGAUGUCUCCCACUUUGCAGAACACAGAAACACUGCGGUUGCCAUGGGAAAGGCAGUCAUGACACCUGAGAUGAUAUCCCUCCUGUCCCCCGUCCCCUCCCUGUCAUCGUCCAAUCGGUGGCUGUCUCGCGACGGUUCACGAAGAUCCGGAAGUUUCCAGAUGAAGUCCACCUCCUUGGACACGGGGCUGUGGCAGGAGGAAGAGGGGGAUGAAGUGGGGGAUGAGGAUAGACGGUGGGAACGAGCCCUGUUCUCUGGGCUUUCCUGCUGCUGCUCCUGUGAUAACCGCUGUAGCUGCUGUUCUCAGAACAAUCACCUCAAACCAUCCUCCGUUUCAGCUUUCCCUUAUUCCCUGGAUGAGCUGGAGGGGAUGAUGCACUGUAUGAGGAAGUUCCGCUGCGUCCUGACAGACAUCGAGGAACAGCUGUCAGAAGACCAGGCCUCGGUGUACAGCUCACUCUCUGACACUGACAGAGAUGAAGUGCGAGACAUCUUGGAGCUGAGGAAAGCUGUGAAACAGGAAGCAGGAGAGUUGGAACUGCAGCUCACUGACCUGGUUCAUCGCUAUGACGACAGCUUCAAAAUGAAGAUGCACAGACUACUCGAUGAACAAUCUCACCUCUACACCCAGCUAAGGCUCCUCCCCCUGAUCCCCAAGACCACCCCUGGCUCCGCCUCCUCUAGGAGCAUGGCCACUCAGUGCUGCCUGCUGCCCUGGCUGCCUUUGACGGACAUGUCCAGGCCACACCCCUCACCGCAGGCCACCUGGGAUUUGGAGUCCAGAUCAGCUCUGCCAGAUUCCAGUUCUAUGGGCCAGAGACUAAACCAUGGUUCUACCGGCACCAAGCCAGACAAACUGGACAUUGUGGGUUUCAUCCAGAGACUGAAGGAGUCCAUACGCCACUCUGUCAAUACUGACUCACUGGAGUAAAAGAGAGAUGCUGCUUCUGCUGUAGCUAACUGAAAAUGAUCUGCUGUCUAAGUUAUAGUGUGUCCAAUCAACCUGGACUCGGGUAGAUGUAACAUAAUAAACGUAAAUCUGUCUCCCUCCAGUUAGUAUGAUAUGUUAGGUGUGGUAAGGUAUGUAUUUCUUUGUGGAUGUCCAUCAUCCAUUUCUUAUGUUAUAAAUAACAAUUCAUAUGAUAUGUUACGAAUUGCAAUUUGUACAAUAUGUUACGAAUUUGCGAUUAAGUAUGAUAUGUCACAAAUUCCAGUUUGAUGUGGCUAACCCUAACAUUAAAGUAGCUAACGUUAACUAGGCUAAGGGUUAGCUAACAUGCUAAGUAGGUGCAAAAAGUAGUACGUUUCAAAAUAGCUAAUUAGCCUAAAUGCUCAAGUUGUCCGUGAUGAGAUCGGAAGACGCAACCUUAGAGGUGCUAGAAGUUUGCAUUAUAUGCCCACCUAUCCACCCCGACCCACCACCCUCCUUUUGUUUUUGCCUUAUGUAACCUUACCAAACAUACCAUAUCAUAUUCAUUUGAGUGUCCUGGAUUUACGUUGACUAUGUCUAGUCUAUGAAACCAGGCUGGUGUAAUCAAUGGAUUCUAUUACUACUAAAGUAGUCCAGUGUCCACAUAAUGAAUAAAGAGCACGAAUGCAUGAAAUCAUGUGUGCUUGUUCUAUAACGUGCCGAUCCAAUGCAUAACAUACUGUCCAAAGAGUUUAUUUGUGUGUAUUGUCAUUCCCUACGUAUCAACAACAGCAUUCGUCUCAACUAAGGAUGUGUUCUUAUUGUAACAUGAAGUCUCCUACUGUUACCUACCUGCAUCAAUGCUCUGGGUAAGACAGUUCCCCAUCCACAUGAGAUCCAUGCAGUAUGUGUAUGCUAUAGAGAGGAGCUCCUAUGUGUCACCCUCCUGUUCUGGGUUAUGUCCUUAUUAGCACAAGAGGUGGUCUUGCUCACGUCUCCUGCCUCUUCAGACCCCAAUUAGCAGCUGGGUAGUAACAUUCCAGCCUGUGAGCCUGAUGCAUUUCAUGACUCCCUCUACUGGUGCUCCCAACUAAAAUGUAAGAGCACCACAUGCCAUUUAGGAACACCAGAAAAUAAGAUUUAAAAAAAAUGUUUUAUUGCAAUACAGCCUACGGUAUAUAGAGCCCCACAGUGGAAGUGUCAUAAUACCCAUAAACCUAACGGUCAAACAGGGAGUCACCUUGUCCUUGACAGAUUUAGAUUGUUAUCAAAACGCCACGCCAGGGUAAGCCUACACAACACAGCUCUUAUUUUAAGUGUUUGUAAAAUCCCCUAUGGGAAAAAUGAAUGAAUGGUGGAAAAACAAUUGCAACCAUUUCCUUGUUUGACUGCUAGGUUUUAUGGGUAUUAUGACUCAUACUGUGGUACUCUAUUGGGCCUAAAUGAAUUCUAGUUACUUUAGAAGCAAAUGUUGUGCCCUAGAAAGUAAUAUGUUUAUUAUAAAAUGUUCAAGUCAUUUGUGGAAUAUUAAGUUUCUACGUUGUGUAAAAGCACUAUUUUCCUACUGAGAUGCAUUACAUAGAUAAUUGCACACUUUCCCUUCAAAAAGGUCAGGUUUGUGAUGGCAAAGUUCAAGAGAUCUGUCGUUCAACAUUGUGCUUUCAAGACAACCGGGGAAAAAAACUCAGUCUAAUCAUGACGUCAGUAAUCUUCAAGUCGGAGCUCUGGAAAGUAAGUAUGGUAGCUGCAGCCCAAUAGAACCCCACAGUGGAGUUGUCAUAAUACACAUAAAACAUAGUGGUCAAACAGGUAAAUGGUUUCAAUCAUUUUUCCACCAUUCAUUUUUCCCAUAGGGAAUUUUAGAAACACUUUUGUGUAUGCUUACCAUAGCAUGACAUUUGAUAACCAUGUAAAUCUCUCCCAGACAAAGUGACUAAUCAAUAUAUUCGGCCCUAUUUACUCUCAGAUUUGAAAAUACUAAUUAGCAUCAAAGUAGACAUCAUGCAAGACUACAAAUCCCUGCAAGCUCCUGCAUGUCAUCUCUCUGACACAUUUGCUAACAGAUAGUGUCAAUUCAAAACUUGCACAAGACAGUUCACAAAAUUUAAUUUAAAGACGUAUAGCCAAUUUAUUAAUUACUACAUUUAGCUAACAUUAGAUAGUUAAUCCAGAGAUUCUUACCUUUGCCUCGAUUUGGCAGUCUUGUGUUAUGCUGACUGCAGAAAUGUCCACCGGAGCUGUUGCCAGAGAAUUUAAUGUUAAUUUCUCUACCAUAAGCCGCCUCUCCAAUGUCAUUUUAGAGAAUUUGGCAGUAUGUCCAACGGGCCUCACAACCACAGUCCACAUGUACCCACGCCAGCCCAGGACUUCCACAUCUGGCUUCUUCAACUGCGGGAUCGUCUGAGACCAGCCACCCAGACAACUGAUGAAAUGAAUACUGCCUCAGCAAUGAUGGAAGCAGCAGAGGAUUACACCAUCUUCCAGAUGGUCGAGGAACUGAUUAAUCUACUCCAUCAAUACCACGACCAGCUGGCUCUACAAUGUACGAUCAUGGAGGUCCUCCGCGUUCGCCACUGCCAGUGAGGUUCUCCAUACUUCUGACGGAAGGCCUCCUACCAUGGGUUGUCACAGUGAGCCAGUCCCCUAGCCUACCCAGCCUUCCAUCAAAGUCAGUGAUGCCUGACUUUCCCUUCCGGAGAAGUAUGACGGUACUCCAUUGAAAUGCUGUGACUUCCUCCUCCAGUGCUCCCUCUAUUUCGCCUAUCAGACGGGAGCUCCCACCCACCACCGAGAGGUCCAAGGUUGCCACUGUAAUUUCCCUGCUGACCGGACGGGCGUUGGAGUGGGCUACGGCCGUCUGGGAGAGGAUGAGUUGGAUGCCAAUGAGAGGUUCAUGGCUCUGUUCAGGGAGGUCUUUGACUAUCCUCCAGAUGGCAGAGAGGGAGGUGGGCAACUUUUUCAACUGCAGCAGGGUGCCCAGACCGCUGCGGAGUAUGCCCUUACCUUUCGGACUGUGGCAGCCUCCUGCGGAUGAAAUGAGCCAGAGCGCCGCACUCUAUUCCGCAGUGGACUGCGCAAGGAGGUCCAGAUGGAGUUGGCAUGUCGAUAUGACAACCUAGCCUUGGACGCUCUCAUCUCGAUGGCCAUCCCUCCUUUGGCUGUCCUGAAGCAGAGGCCAUGCACCUCUCUGCGGUAGAGCGGCGUUGCCAGAGACAGCUGGGGCUCCGUUCCUAUUGCGGCCAGGAGGGGCUUCAGCGGUGCCGGUGCGUCCUAACCCGGGGUCCACUAGAGCAGAGGGGUAGCCCAGUGACCUUCCUUCUCCCAGGCUAGGAGUGAGUAUUCCAUCAUCACUUUCCGCCAAACCCUUUCUGGUGUCAAUUUCGCUGGCUAUGCCUUAUCUGUUGUCUCUAUAGCUCUAGUGGACUCCGGUGCUGCUGGGAACUUCAUCAACCCGGCCCUCUCCACCUCGCUGAACCUAACUUCGUACCUGCUCUGGUCUCCUUUUCCUGUCCAAGCUCUGGAUAUGCAAUGUGGUAAACCGUGGGGUGUUGGGUUAAGUGCACAGAGAUUAAUACAGAAACAGGGAGGCUCUAGUCAGAAACCACGACUUUACUAGACAACAAAAUAAACGUAGCAUCAAAAUAAUGUAGGUUUGGCUCAGCCCUUCUCAGAUUCUGCUCCGUGUCUGUCUCUCCUCACGGUGUGCCACGGUGCUCCUGCACGGCUGGUUGGCACUCUCCCCUAAUUACCUCUACUUGGAGCCAUCAGCGUCGGGGUGCCCAGCCUGUGUACUCCCAGCAGAGGGAGCCAACGUUGCAGCACGUACCUCCCCUUUAUCACCAACCCCCGGGGCAGACCUCCCGGGGUACCACAGCGACCAUUGGGAUCCGGCACAAUUAUUCACAUCACAGCACCCCUCACCGUGGGACCCAAGCACCAGGACACCCUUCCCUACUUUAUCAAUGCCGCACUCAUACACAAAGUCAUCCUCGGCCUCCCAUGGCUCAAACUCCAUAAUCCCACCAUCUCCUGGUCAAAGGUGAGAAUCAUCGCCUGGGGACCAGGAUGCCGGAGGAACUGCUUUCCCACACCCUGUAGUUCAACAUCGGUGGAGGGUCCUGUGAGUGCCCUCCAGCCCAUCAAGCGAUCCUCACAUAUCAUUGGCCCCGUGUUUAGGGAUGUUGACAUCCGCCAGACUCUGGCGAGGUAACCCGCUCCUGCCCUCUAGAGUGCAUCUACAUCUCCACGGGGCGAGCGAUCGGCUGUUGACCUGGGCGCACACAUCCCUUGCUGUUGACCUGGGCACACGCAGGUAUCACCUGCACCAUCUAAUCCCUCUCCGAUAAAUACUGGUAGCCCACCUUGGUGCAGGACGUUGUCCACUAUGUCAACUCAUGUUCGGUAUGUACUCAAUCCAAAUCUCACCGACUUGCUCCAGCAGGUAAACUACUCCACCUUCCCCUCCAUCAGUGGCCUUGGUCACAUCUGUCCAUAGACUUUGUAACAUAUCUCCCCCUUUCUGAUGGUUUUACGACUAUUCGGAUUGUUGACAGAUUCUCAAAAUCUUGCCGUUUUAUCCCUCUCUGGUCUACCUCCCACUCUCCAGGUCGCUGAGGCACUAUUCUAGCACAAUUCUUCUGGUACUAUGGCCUUCCGGAGGACAUUGUUUCCGACCGUGGUCCCCAAUUCACGUUGCGGGUCUGGAAAGCCUUUAUGGAGAAGCUGGGGGCCACGGUCAGCCUCGCAUUCGGGUACCGGCCUCAGUCUAACGGGCAGAUGGAGAAGAACAACCAGAAGCUGUGGAGGUUCCUAAGGAGUCACUGCCAGGACCGGCAGGCUGAGUGGGAACCCACUUUGUCACUCGUCCACUGGGCUGACUCCCUUACAGUGCAUCCUGGGAUAUCAGCUGGCCCUGGCUCUGUGGACUCCGAGCCAGACCGAGGCCCCUGCAGUUGACGAGUGGUACCAGUGGUGGUAUGGAACGCCACCCACCUGAGGCUCCAGCAUGCCUUCUGCCGUCAGAACGAUCAGGCAGACUGCCACCCCUCCCCCUCCUGGACUUCUGACGUCAUGGGGGUUGGCUCCCGUAUCUGGUGGACUGGGAGAGGUACGGUCCAGAGGAGUGGUGUUGGGUUCCAGUGGAUGACUUUCUAGAUCCCAACAUCAUCCGAGAUAUCUCCCUUCGUUGUCCGGACUGACCCGCUCCUCGCCCUUGUGGCCUUCUCCCUGGCCCGUGUAGUCCUGCGGCUGGAGCUGCACAUUGGUGGGAAAGGGGGUGGGGGAGAAGUCACGUCUAAUCCCACUCUGGCGCUCGCCGUCGCCGGUUUACUAACCACCGGUACUGGCAACCCAUCAAGACGCACACCUGGCAACCCUCAUUACACACACCUGCGCCUCAUGAAGCACACGUGGACUUCAUCACUACACUUAAUUACUUCUCAUUUACCUAGCACUCCCUAGCAUCAGGCAGUAUUGGUUAUGUUGUCAUGUCCAGAUGCUUCUCUUGUUUUGUAACUCUCCAUGUUCGUUAUUAUUAAACUCACCAUAUGCACCUGCUUCCUGGGUCUAUGGUACACACGUGUUCCCGGAAGUCUCGCGAUGUUGCGCCUCAGGGUUUAAAAACUCUAUAAUAGGGUUUAGAGAGAAACACAGAAAAUAAGGUUCUGAGGUUAACACCAAUCUUAGGAGAUGUUUUGUUUCAUGAGAGAAUAUCAGUCAGUUAACCUGACCUUUAUGAAUUAUGAAGCCUUUAUGUGCUUUUUUUAUUAUUACAUAAAUGGUUCAAUAUUCAAAAAGUGGCGUUAGCUGAUGACGAUUAUCUGAUUGAACAAACCGUAUAAAAUCUCCUAAGCCCGUGUUUACCACAGACUGUAUUUUCGGCAUUUAUCCAAAAACGCCAUUCAUUUCUACAUAGGCUUUGUUCAACGAACCAUGGUGGAGUUAAUGCCUACAAAAAGACGCAAUUACUAUGUCUCUCUAUAGGACGAUUUAAAAAAAAAAAAAAAAAAAAAAAUAUUGUUGGGCUAGACGUAAUCUAAUUUUACUGUAGUAAUGGUGCAAGAAUGACUUUAACAAAUCUGUGUUUUUCUAGGGAACUCAGAAACAAUCGUACAGCAAAGCCUUAUCAUUACUAUUAUCUGGGGGAUUUUUCUUCAUAGUCGCACAGUGCUUGAUACUAGAGAAGAAAAUGCCAUGUGACAAAAACACAUCAACAACUCAGUCUCCCAUCAGACUUCAAAGGGCCCCGCCUGAUUGAAACAUGAGUGGUUUGUGAUAAGCAGACAACACAGGUUAUGUAAUUAAUUUAUUAGAAAUAGAAUAGGCUUCUAUGCUCUCAGCAACUUGGUAAUGUAGUCAAUGGUAUCCCCUAUAGAAGGAUUAUGUUGGGUCAUGUUGCACUACCUACCAUUUGUGUUUCAUAACUGGGCAACUAUGUCAGAUAAAUGUCCAUAACUUUUUUAGAUUUAGUUACAAAUAAGCAGAAGUUCAAUCAACCAAUGAUAUUUUACAGAGAAAUAAUUAAGACUUUCAGCAUGCUUAUAGGGAAGGGCACUCAACAUGCUCGGCACUGACACAAAUUACUGGUGAUUGGCUGAAAGACAUUGAUUAUUAGAAGAUUGUAGGAGCUGUUUCGUUAGAUUUCAUUACAGUUAUUGAUAUCAUUGAUCAUAACCCAUUACUGAAAAAACAUAGGUGUUAUGGAUUUACAUGUUCUUUAUCAUGGAUUGAGAGUUCCCUAUCUAAUUGAACACAGAGUAUUUUUUUUUAAUGGAAGCCUCUCUAAAGCAAAUUCAGUUGAGUGUGGUGUACCACAGGGCAGCUGACUUGAGCCAUUAUAGUUUUAUGUGUUUACUAAUGAACUUCCACUGACCUUAAGUAAAGCUUGUGAGUCUAUGUGCGCUGACUCAACUGUAUACAUGUCAGCUACAACAGUAAUAUAAAUAAUUGACACCUUUAACAUAGAGAUCCAGACAGUUUUAGAAUGGGUAACUAGCAGUAGGCUGGUGUUAAACUAAAAGCAUUGUUUUUGGGACAAAUCACUCACACAACCCUAAACCUCAUGUGCACACAUUUGUUUACAUCCCUGUUAGUGAGCAUUUCUCCUUUGCCAAGAUAACCCAUCCACUUGCUGGAUGUGUAUAAAUUGCAUAUAUAUAUUUUUUUUUUUUGUGAAUAUUUGUAUUGUAUUUAUCAUUGUAUUAUGUAGUGUUAUGUAUUUUCUUUGUUGUGUUUUGGCAGCAGCUAAUUGGGGAUCCAAAUAAAAUACUAAAUACAAACAUUAAAGCACUGUUGCAGAUAUUUAGUUGAAACCUGGGUGAAAUUGAGAACUAUUAUGUACAUUUAAUCAAAAAGCCACGAAGGUAUUGUAAAAUAAAGUUGACUAAAACAAUCAAAUUGAAUAGUUUAGCGCUGUGAAAUUAGACACUGGAUAUUAGUCAUAUCACAUGUAAUAUUGUGCCCAGGGGAAAUAUCACUGUGAUCUCAUAUUGAAAGAAAAUAUCAUGGGAUGACAGAGCAGAUAGAGCGGAUAUCAAUUACCAAAAGCAGGGGAUGGUUGAACGGGUAGCGUAAGCUUACUCCAUGACAUCUAGGAUUUUCCUUUAACCUAUCUGCUCUCCAUUGGGGUGGCAGGUAGCCUAGUAGUUAAAGCCUUGGGCCAGUAACCGAAAGGUUGGUGGAUCGAAUUCCUGAGCUGACGAGGUAAAAAUGUGUCUUUCUGCCCCUGAACAAGGCAGUUAACUGUUCCUAGGCUGUCAUUGUAAAUAAGAAUUUGUUCUUAAAAUUGACUUGCCUGGUUAAAUAAAAAAUCUGCUCUUCAUUUAACCUAUCUGCCCUUCCACCUAUCCAUGUCAUCCUUUUUUAUUCUCCUAAUUUUCGCUUUCCUCUUAUUUUGUCUCAUUCUUUCCACUGCCACUGUCCUGUCUCCUAUUCCUCUCUCCGUUUCUUCUUCUCUCUGUCUACUUCCCCUCUCUUCCGUCCACCUUCUUCCUCCUCCCUUGCUCUCCUACAUAGAGCCCCCCCCCCACGGGCACUGCUGCUGUCACUGAACCUGUUGAAGUUCGCUAAUUAAGAUCCCAUUCAAAUUCAUCAUACCAUUUGGACAGCGGUCCAGCAGACACAGGAUAAGAGGACUCCUGUCACCGUGACAACGGGCGCUAAUGGAGACGGUGGACUGGGCGGAUGGAUGGUGAUGAUGCUCCUCCUCCGAGCUACUUAACACCAUGGCUUUGAUCUGGCCUGGCACUCACUCCUUCUGUCCUGUCUGCUCACUGCACAGCUGAGACUGGGAGAAAGAGGAUAAACGAGAGAGAGAGAGAGAGAGAGAGAGAGAAGAGGAGGAGAAGAUGUCUACAGGCUGUGGCUGUGUGAGGUCGCCCCCGGAGACAGCGGAACACAGACUGACGGGUGGACAGGAGCACCACUAUCAGCUGGUGGAGCCUGUGAGGACCCUGCUAGAGGAGGGGACAGGGAUGACCAGAGCUGUGCAGGGGAAACACUGUCCUGAGGCAGUGCAUCCCGAGGAGCAGCCAGAUGAGCAGGAAGUGAAGAAACCACGCAGGAAAGACACGCCCGUCCUCAACACUCCUCCACUCAUACGAGGUGUGAGGAUGGGGAAAGGAGAGAAGAGAAUGAUUCACAUGGAGGAUGAAGAGAAGGAUGGAAAGAACUAGAAGUCAUUGGAGGAGAGUUUCUUGCCUACAUUUUUUGUUGUUGACAUUGUUGUUUUCAGUUGUCAUAUUACUAAUAUGUAGCCUAUACCUGUUUAUUAAAAGUAGUUCUACACUGUGUGGCAGUUAUCUUUCAUUUACAAACAAGGUAUAAAGAUGUUGAUGUCAAUGCAUGCAUUCAAUGUAAUAUACUGUAUCUUGCCAAAGGUUGCACUGUGGCCAUUACAAUGUAGAAAAAA